rnacentral:lncRNA from 1 species
AACUAAACUAAAGGAACCACCAGCGUGGGAGCCAUCUGGUCUAGUCGCGUAAUGGCUGCCAGGUUUCCCUGCUGAAGAAGCUUUCUGGCAAUAGCAAUAUACAGUAGACUGAAGUCUUCAACAUGACUACCAGCUCUUGCAAAUCUGAUUAGCUGUGAAACAUAAAUCCCAUAAUAUAUGGCACGGAGAACACCUCCAUCAAGGGCUUCUUAUUUGAAUACAUCUCAACCACAGUACAGAUCAGUUGUUGUAGUUCUUAGAACCCGUACCGCUGAAUACAAGCUGGAGCCCAGUGACUUUCUACUAAUUAAAUAAUACCACAUAAAAUUAAUACGUGAUGUAUUACAUGACUGACUUGAAGCUGGACAAGCCGAAAGUCCAAAAUCAGUCCAACCAAAGAGGCGAGAGAGGGCAAGGUAAACAGUGUGUUAAAAUAAUUUGACUAGGUGUGCUGACUAGAAACCAUCAUUAUGGAGAACCAAAAUGAAGUAGCAAUAGUAGAAAGAUUAACAGACUAUGCGAUCAAUAAGUAACGUGUGCUUUGCGCACACUGGAAUAAAGAAUGCAUAUGCCUAUGUGAGAGGUGCACAAUAAUGAUACAUAAGAACGAAAUUCGUAAAUAUAGAUACAAGUGAGACAAGAAUACACAAGUGCUGACGAUGCUGUCCUGUGUGACCAUACCCCAAUGAUCACAGUUAACAAGCAAUGAACUUACAAUAAACGUCAUUGUACUCAGAUCGAAAUAAAUGGAUUGCAUAAGGUACAAGGUAAAACAAUGAUGUCACAUAAGAUGCAAGGUACACAGUAGCUAUACAACACAUGUGAUGUGACAAAGAUACUAUGUGAGCAAAAAUUGAUAAUACUUUUUGGCAAUAAAAUUCAUCAGAGUACAUAUGCGAUCCGUAACAAAAAUCCGUACUAAAGUUUUCUGUCAGUACAACCCCAAUGUUCGCUUGCACUGAACAACGUAAAACCUGUUCACAUGAACAACGAUAACGUAUGAUUGGUGAAAGUACAGUUUGUAUCUGCAAUAACAUGACAUGGCACAAAUUAAGUUUGAUAAACUGCAAACCAGAAAUCUCGGGUCAUAUACAAUUAAGAAAUUUAGUAAAAUUGUAUAUGUAUUAACUGACUACAUAAGACGGUCAAUAAUAAACAUAGGAACAUCUAAAAGCAUAUAUAUAGAGAUAAAACAAAAGAAUGCGGUGCUGACCAAAAUUUAAGUAAAUGUGACAACCUUUACAGCUACCAGUGUUUAUAGUUAUUUCGUGUACAGUGAUAAACAUACAAAAAGUAAAUCGUUAAAGAAAGACUUCGACUUUGCUGACGUACUUAUUCAAGCCAGCUGGCAAGAUCCCGCCCACUGGAGCAGUUCAACAGACGUUAGAGGGCACCCACAGGAGAAAAUAUCAUGUACGCUAGAAAAUACAAAUGGAAAAAAGUAGUUGCACUUUCAAAUCUAUAGAUUCGCUUACUGUGUACAUGCUUUAGAAAAUGUAAAUUAUCUCAGAUUCUAAUUCUGAUAAUGAUUAAGAAAUUCUCAAUUCUGAGGGCAGUUCCUACAAUUAAUCACCUUGCUCAUGAAAAUCAGCCUUUAGAAUUAGGAUUUUUCUUAACAUAAUUACUAGAUGGUCAAACAAGACAUUAAUUUGUUAAAAUAACACUUUGAAUAGACGACGAUAACUACCGAUUCACUAAAAUUUGUUCAAACAUGUUAACAAAGGCACAACAUACAGAGAUGUGCAGCUCAUCUAAGGCAGUUGAAAACGACAUCCUAUGUUAUUGGUUUUACCACGUGGUAUAGUCAAUGUAAACAAUUACCACUCCUGCAUAAUGCUGGCCCAAACUACUCAUUUCUUUUCAUUCAAGAUACGCCUUUGCUGACAAACUCCUUAAAGCCAUCAUAUGAAGAAAAGGUUACUAGCAAUAUAAUAUUGGCUCAAAACCCACUUCUCCAUUAUAAUAAAAAAGGGUCAUCUGGUGAAAGUUUAUACAAACUAAGCCAAAGUCGGCGUUGAAGUAUUUCAACACUUACAAACUAGCAUCUAAAGUUAUAUAUUAAUUGAUGAUGGAUACCGGUACUUACAUUCGAAGCUUGAUUAUCUCUUUUACCUUCAAGUUUGUUUCUUUUGAGAUGCUGUGCAUCUAACCCACUUCACCAAAUUUCAGUUAUGUCAAAACACAUUAAUAGAAUUUGGUACAUAAGCCCAAUGUAAAUAUUUUUAAGGUGUAAGGGGAGUCCCUUUCGCAAAAAAAAAAACGUCGUCUGCAUCCUUCUGGAAAUGGUACCUUAACAAUCUCUUUAAGUCUUGUUGCAUUAUCCUGACUGCUUUUAACUUAGCUUGUGAUAUGCUACAUGUGAUAUCAGC